CGUAGGCUUUCAGCGUGCGCUGACAGAGUGCAGAACGUACGCAAUCAUCUUUGUUAAAGCGUACGAUACCAAUCAUCUCGUCUUCCUCAAAACGCGCCAGUGCAUCGCUCAGACCCGACUUCACGCCGGAAGGCAAGUCACACUGGGUAAUAUCACCAUUGACGAUGACGGUCACGUUUUCCCCGAGGCGCGUU
rnacentral:antisense_RNA from 1 species